AGCCUGUUGUUUUUUAUAGUAGGUGUUUUCUGCCCAAUGUUUUUAAAUGGCCGCGGUACUCUGACCGUGCGAAGGUAGCAUAAUCAUUUGUUCUUUUAUUGGGGACUGGAAUGAAAGAAAGUUUGAGGUUUUAGCUGUCUCUUUUUUUGUUUAGAAUUUGCUGUUUUUGUGAAGAAGCAAAAGUUUUUAAAAGGGACAAGAAGACCCUUUUAAGCUUUACUUUUUUUGCUUUUGUUUUUUCUUUGAAGGAUUGUAAGUUAAAGGUAAAAAAAGUUUGGUUGGGGUGACUGAAGAAGAGUUUUAUCUUCUUUUGUUAAGUUUAAUUUUAGGUUUGAUUUUGACCCAAGAUUUUUUGGUUUUAAGAAUUAGUUACUAAAGGGAUAACAGCGUAAUCUUCUCGGAGAGUUCUUAUUGAGGAGAAGGAUUGCGACCUCGAUGUUGACUUAUUUUUUCCUUUAAAGGUGUAGGAGCUGAAAGGGUUAGUCUGUUCGACUAUUAAAAUGAU
rnacentral:rRNA from 2 species